AUGCGUGAGGUCUCUCAAUGUCCCUUUCAUCCCCAAAUCUCCAAUUCUUUGCUACUUUUACACGCAGUUCUUCCCCAGAGGAGCUUAUCCUUGCAGCUGAUCCUGGUCGAGGAGCUCCAGCAGACCUCGGUGAUGUGGCUUCACGGUCUAAACCUCCGAAUUCAAGAGCCAAUGGGAGAGCUGUCUAGCACAUUCUGUCAUUUUAGAGUGCCAUCUGCUGAUGGGAUAAGUAAGAUGAGACAAAAGAAAAGGAAGAAGAAGAUGAGAUGUUCUUUUUAUCUCUUCAAUCUGUUGAAGGAAGCACCUCCACUUAAAAACAUCUCUGUAGGGCGCCUGGGUGGCUCAGUCGGUUAAGCGACUGCCUUCGGCUCAGGUCAUGAUCCUGGAGUCCCGGGAUCGAGUCCCGCAUCGGGCUCCCUGCUCGGCGGGGAGUCGGCUUCUCCCUCUGACCCUCCCCCCUCUCAUGUGCGCUCUCUCUCUCUCAUUCUUUCUCUCAAAUAAAUAAAAUCUUUAAAAAAAAAUAAAAACAUUUCUGUAGAUGUUUUGUAGAUGAGAUAUUUCAUGGUGUUUGUUCCUGGCCCUGAAUAUCAAACCUAGUCUUGUCUUGUUUCUCCGUGAUUGUAUCUCUGACACUCAGCACCACAAGUCCCAGAACCUAUCAACCUAUCCAUGGCCAAAGAAAAGAUGAGGGCCAGCUCAUCAAAUUUCACCUAGACUCUCCUUUUAAGAAUGGCCAGAUUUUCUUAGACCUUCCUUAGAUUUCCACCAAGGCAGCAGCCAGGAGGCCCAGUGAGGCCUGGCUGGGACUGGCCACUCACAUGUUCCUUAGAGAGACUUCUGUAAUGUCAAAGGAAGAGUGACAUACUUGCAGUGAGAGGACCCGAGUGUGACUACCUGCCCUGUCAUACUCCAAUGUAGGCAAGUCACACACCAUGGCAUCCCAGGUUCCUCAUCUGUGAAGCAGAGGUGACAAGUACCUCGCAGAAAUCUUUUGAGAGGAUAAAAUGAGAUCAUGCUGGUAAAAUCACUGAACAACUAGAAUUAUAAUUUGCAGCUCUGAACUGGGAUGUGAAAACGCAUACAGGUCUUGUCUGUAAGCCUUUUAUUGUUUAAAUAAGAAUGUUUUUUAAAUGUGCUGGCCCUAGAUUUGAAAUAACCGAAACCUGACAAGCAGAGAAGAAAACCUUGAGAUAUCACAGGCAAAGAAGAGUCUGGGCUUGGCGAGGGCAUGAUGAUGUAUCCUGCAGAGAGAUGCGGGGAACGAGG
rnacentral:lncRNA from 1 species